rnacentral:lncRNA from 1 species
AUAAUAAUAAUAAUCACGGUGCACAUAAUAUCUAUACUUCUAUACUAAUAUAUGAAUCCCCAAUAUCUUGCUGACAUGGUGUUAGCUCCUUCUUUCAAAACUGCUCUCUUUCAUCUCCCAACCUCCAAAACCCUUCAUCUUCAAAACCGUUCCCUCCUUAUCUCCCAAUAAAAUCACAAUUGGAUGCAUAUAAUUGCACCAAAACUAUUCCCUCUCAUCUCCCAACCUCCAAAAUCCCUCAUCUUCCAAAACCGUUACCUCCUUAUCUCCCAAUAAAAUCACAAUUGAAUGCAUGUACUUCAACAAAAUUUUGUAGAAUUAUUGACCUUCCACCUGUUGAAUUGAGAGCGCAAUAGAAUAAAAGGUUCGAUUUCUUAUAGCUCUACUUCUAGCAAUAGUUUCUUUUUUCGUUUUUCACAUUUAAUUUGUUGUUCGCUUGGAGGUUAGGAAAGCAUUUUUGGGUGUUUUUUUUGUAUUUUUGGCAUAUAUUAUGUUUUUUUUAAUUCGUUCUAACUUCUUGAAAAGUUUCCUUUUGUUUCAGAGAGAUGAUUAUUUUUUGUCUUGAAUGUUUAGAAUAUUUUUUCAAUAUUAUUAUGGGAAUUUUUUCUCCUCAAGGGGCUUUUUAUUGUUGGUUUUAUUGUUGAUUUCUAUAUUUUUCCUCUUAAAUACAAACCGACACUAAUGUGACACUGAUAAUAUUAGAUUAUUAUCACAGUGUAUUAUACAAUAAUUAAAAAAUCGCAUCGAUGUCGCGCAUGAUAUAUAUAUAUAUAUAUAUAUAAUGCUCGGGUUACUUCAUUAUUGAUUUUUUAAAAAAAUUUGAUUUGCGUCAAAAAAAGAAUCAGACGGAUGAAUCUGCUUAUUUGAUUUGUUAAAUGUCAAUUAAAAUCUUUUCAGUGUGCUCUUUAAUAUUUAUUAUCUUUCACUUGCAAUAUUUCAAACAUUUUUUUUUAUAAUAUCUAUGUAAUAAUUUUUCUUCUCAUAUAAUUCUUACUUUUUUUUCGGUUUCUUUUAUUAUUUUUUGUUGAGUUGUGAUUCCAUUUUAAAUAUUUUUUAAUGUGUUUUUUAUAUUAUUAAGUCUAAUCAAAUAUAGUUAUAUUUUUUUUCUUCUUUACAUUCAUAUUUAUUUAUUUAAUUUGUAAAUUUUUAUUAAAAUUUUUUUUUUUGCUGCAUCGCGCGGGACACUACACUAGUAUAAUAAGGAUCUUGAAAAGAACUAUACGGUGCAUAUAUAUAUAUACUAUAC